rnacentral:misc_RNA from 1 species
GAUGAAGAACGUAGCAAAAUGCGAUAAGUAAUGUGAAUUGCAGAAUUCAGUGAAUCAUCGAAUCUUUGAACGCACAUUGCGCCUCCUGGUAUUCCGGGAGGCAUGCCUGUUCGAGCGUCAUUAGAAUCACUCAAGCUUAGGUUUACCUAUUGCUUGGUCUUGGAGAUGGAAGCCAAUUUAUUGGAAUCCUCUCCGAAAUUCAAUGGCGAAGACCCUUGCUCUCCCAAGUGUAGUAAUAACUUAUGUCACUGAAGGAAGCGAGAAAUCUUCUGCCGUAACCCCCAUAUUUUCUAUGAUUGACCUCGGAUCAGGUAGGGAUACCCGCUGAACUUAAGCAUAUCAAUAAGCGGAGGA